GACGAACGCUGGCGGCGUGCUUAACACAUGCAAGUCGAACGGAAAGGCCCUGCUUUUGUGGGGUGCUCGAGUGGCGAACGGGUGAGUAACACGUGAGUAACCUGCCCUUGACUUUGGGAUAACUUCAGGAAACUGGGGCUAAUACCGGAUAGGAGCUCCUGCUGCAUGGUGGGGGUUGGAAAGUUUCGGCGGUUGGGGAUGGACUCGCGGCUUAUCAGCUUGUUGGUGGGGUAGUGGCUUACCAAGGCUUUGACGGGUAGCCGGCCUGAGAGGGUGAUCGGCCACACUGGAAGUGAGACACGGUCCAGGGUCCUACGGGAGGCAGCAGAAGGGAAUCGUCCGCAGCGGGCGAAAGCCUGACGGAGCAACGCCGCGUCAGUGAUGAAGGUCUUCGGAUCGUAAAACUCUGUUAUUAGGGAAGAACAAAUGUGUAAGUAGCUGUGCACGUCGUGACGGUACCGGAUCAGAAAGCCCCGGCUAACUACGUG
rnacentral:rRNA from 1 species